UACGAAGGGGGCUAGCGUUGUUCGGAAUUACUGGGCGUAAAGCGUGCGCAGGCGGCUUCUCAAGUCAGGGGUGAAAGCCCAGAGCUCAACUCUGGAAUUGCCUUUGAGACUGAGUGGCUUGAGUACGAGAGAGGUGAGUGGAAUUCCCAGUGUAGAGGUGAAAUUCGUAGAUAUUGGGAAGAAACACCGGUGGGCGAAGGCGGCUCACUGGCUCGUAACUGACGCUCAUGCACGACAGCCGUGGGGGAUCAAAACAGG
rnacentral:rRNA from 1 species